rnacentral:rRNA from 1 species
AGACCUCUGAUCAGAAAAGACUACCCGCUGAAUUUAAGCAUAUCACUAAGCGGAGGAGAAGAAACUAACCAGGAUUUCCCUAGUAACGGCGAGCGAACCGGAAAGAGCCCAGCUUGAAAAUCG